AUUGAACGCUGGCGGCAGGCCUAACACAUGCAAGUCGAACGAGUGGCGGACGGGUGAGUAAUGUAUGGGCAACUGCCUGCUGGAGGGGGCUAACUACUGGAAACGGUAGCUCAUACCGCCUACCAUCGGAUGUGACCAGAUGGGAUUAGCUAGUAGGUGGGGUAAAGGCUCACCUAGACGACGGUCACUAGCAGGUCUGAGGGGAUGACCAGCCACACUGGAACGGGGACACGGGCCAGAGUCCGACGGGAGGCAGAGGGGGGGAAUAUUGCACAAUGGGCGCAAGCCUGAUGCAUCCAUGCGGCUGUGAUAAAGAAGGCCUUCGGGUGGUAAAGUACUUUCAGCGGGGGGGCGUUACCCGCAGAAGAAGCACCGGCUAACUCCGUGCCAGCAGCCGCGGUAUAC
rnacentral:rRNA from 1 species